rnacentral:rRNA from 1 species
UACGUAGGGGGCAAGCGUUGUCCGGAUUUAUUGGGCGUAAAGAGCGUGUAGGCGGCUAGGUAGGUCCGUUGUGAAAACUCGAGGCUCAACCUCGAGACGUCGAUGGAAACCAUCUAGCUAGAGUCCGGAAGAGGCGAGUGGAAUUCCCGGUGUAGCGGUGAAAUGCGCAGAUAUCGGGAGGAACACCAAUUGCGAAGGCAGCUCGCUGGGACGUCACUGACGCUGAGACGCGAAAGCGUGGGGAGCAAACAGG